rnacentral:rRNA from 1 species
CCUACGGGAGGCAGCAGUGGGGAAUAUUGCGCAAUGGGGGCAACCCUGACGCAGCCAUGCCGCGUGAAUGAAGAAGGCCUUCGGGUUGUAAAGUUCUUUCGGUAGCGAGGAAGGCACUUAGUUUAAUAAACUAGGUGAUUGACGUUAACUACAGAAGAAGCACCGGCUAACUCCGUGCCAGCAGCCGCGGUAAUACGGAGGGUGCGAGCGUUAAUCGGAAUAACUGGGCGUAAAGGGCACGCAGGCGGUGACUUAAGUGAGGUGUGAAAGCCCCGGGCUUAACCUGGGAAUUGCAUUUCAUACUGGGUCGCUAGAGUACUUUAGGGAGGGGUAGAAUUCCACGUGUAGCGGUGAAAUGCGUAGAGAUGUGGAGGAAUACCGAAGGCGAAGGCAGCCCCUUGGGAAUGUACUGACGCUCAUGUGCGAAAGCGUGGGGAGCAAACAGGAUUAGAUACCCCAGUAGUC